UACGUAGGGUGCGAGCGUUGUCCGGAAUUAUUGGGCGUAAAGAGCUUGUAGGCGGUUUGUCGCGUCUGCUGUGAAAUCCGGGCUCAACCCGGACUUGCAGCGGGUACGGGCAGACUAGAGUGCGGUAGGGAGACUGGAAUUCCUGGUGUAGCGGUGAAAUGCGCAGAUAUCAGGAGGAACACCGGUGGCGAAGGCGGGUCUCUGGGCCGUAACUGACGCUGAGGAGCGAAAGCAUGGGGAGCGAACAGG
rnacentral:rRNA from 1 species